GAUUAUGGCUCAGAUUGAACGCUGGCGGCGUGCUUAACACAUGCAAGUCGCGCGUGAAAGGCUCGGCCCAAGUAAAGCGGCGCACGGGUGAGUAACGCGUGGAUGAUCUACCCAUGAGUUGGGAAUAACAGCUGGAAACGGUCGCUAAUACCGAAUACGCUCCGAUUUCAACUUCGGGGGAAAGGUGGCCUCUGCUUGCAAGCUACUGCUCAUGGAUGAGUCCGCGUCCCAUUAGCUAGUUGGUGGGGUAACGGCCCACCAAGGCGACGAUGGGUAGCCGGUCUGAGAGGAUGACCGGCCACACUGGGACUGGAACACGGCCCAGACUCCUACGGGAGGCAGCAGCUAAGAAUCUUCCGCAAUGGGCGAAAGCCUGACGGAGCCGACGCCGCGUGAACGAAGAAGGCCGUGAGGUUGUAAAGUUCUUUUCGGGAGGGGGAACAACCGUGGCAGGGAAUGGCCGCGGGAUGACGUGAAUCCCGGAAUAAGCCCCGGCUAACUACGUGCCAGCCGCCGC
rnacentral:rRNA from 1 species